rnacentral:tRNA from 1 species
GGAGGCGUGGCAGAGCGGUCGAAUGCGGCACGGUGCUAACGUGUUAUCCCGAUUAUAUCGGGAUCAGAGGUUCGAAUCCUCUCGCCUCCGCCA